UAUCUACAACAUAAGGCAUAUUUUGUAAAUGAGCUUAAACCCUCUAUCAAAUUGUAAUUAUUCACUAAUAGUCUCUCUUUAUUGCUAAUGAUAUGCAUCACACUAACAGAGUUUGGUAUACUGGUUAUACAAAUAAAGUUCAUCUGAGGUAACACAGUUUAUUCCUUUCUCAGGCAUCCAGCCUGGAUCUCAGCUGCAAAGGAGAAAAGUUCUUGUGUCUUGCCCGGAGUGCUGGCCCUGCUGGACUCAACCCAUUUGCCAUCCAAUGGAUUAAAGCUGAGACCCAAGCCACCAGCAAGCUUUGCCUGGACAGCACAUAAUCUACUGGCAUUUUGGAUCUGCAGGAGAAAACCAGAAUGUUUCCACCAUCAAAGAUCUCUUGGAGUUGUUGAAAGAAGGCUGGAACAGUCCUGAUUUUUGGACUUUCUUUUGUUAAGGUCUCCACUUAGUUGAUUUUGGAAAGCAUGAAGUGUUUGGGAGGAUUAGAGACAGCAGAAGAAGAGGAAUUCAGACUGUGUACGUCACAUGUGCCUACCAGGUAGAGAUGCAGGAAUACGCGUGUAAUGUAUCUCCUGGCCUCAGUGGAGGAAGGCUUUGCACCAAGUGCAGAACUGGGGGACUGUCGGAACCCUGGAUGCUGAGAUUUUUACACUCGACAGCUGACAAUGAGGAAAGAUCAGCCACAGCUUUCUACUCUUCCAGCUGAACCUUUUGGCUCUGGUUCUUCUCCUGAGUCUGCCUGCUUUGUGCUGUGUCAGUGGAAAAUCUUCCCAGAGUUACUCCCUUUAACAGGUCCGUGCUUCUCCUUGCAGGAUCUACAGCUUAAAGAGAUUAAUCAAAAAUCUCACUCACCUUGAAAUUGGGCAGCAAUUUACUGGAAGUGCCAGGAUUUUUCUCUCAGGAUGACAAAUAAAAAUUGUAUCUCUGCUUCCAUCUUUUGCCUGUAUUUUAUCAGAAGAAGGUGUGAAGAUUUCGGGUCAUGACAAAAUCUUCCAGGAAGACAAUGGGGUGUGAAGUUUUGGCCUUGGGAGUCUGUUUGCUGUAAUUAGAUUGGUGGGAGAGAUUUUUGCUCCUGCAGUGCUUGUUUUCUGAAGGGAACUCUGUGUAUCGCAGAUAAAAACAAAUGUUCUUAAAAUAGGAAUUCCUAUCUGGAAAAGUUAAAAAUGCAAUUCAGUCUUCAGCUAUUCAAAUGAAGGUCAAAUCAGAACAUAUUCCGAACUUUGUGGAUAGAAAAGAAUAAGUGCAGGGUCUUUAAAAUAUUAUGCUAGAAAUAAUAUUCCUGACGAAAAGAAGAAUUGAUUUCCAUCUAAACACACAAUACAUGCUGCACAUAUUUUUAGUAUUUGUGGGAACAUGAGGACUUCUUCCAACAAAAAAGUUAAUGUAAUUUUGUGGCUCAUUUUAGGUUUAUUUAUUUUGAGACAGACAUACGAAUCCUCAGUGAAAACUUCAGUGCUAAAAAUGGUAAAUAAUUGAAGAUAUUUUGUGAUAAAUAUUUUAGGAAUUUCAUCUGAGUUCUUCAGACCUCACCUCAACUCUCAGCAUUGUCAGUAUCCCGAUAAAAAUGUGUUUUCAAUCUCCGGCGUUCCAAGUUUGUAAGUAAAUAAUUCUGUCCUUGAACCGGAGUGCAGAUUAAUUACUAGUUGGACAUAGUUCCUCUUGACCAGAGAAUAUGAAAGUUUUUAACAAAGGGAAUAUUCAUUAAUCUUGCGAGAUGUUUUUUUUGGAAGACAGAUAUGUAUUUCUGAGGGGAAAGGAACACUUACAAGGUUUAAACAAAGGGCCAGAUUUUCUGUAUACUUGUAUAUCACAUGUUUCCCAAACAAGAUGAUAUAAUAGCUGUGUGUCCUUGUAAUGUCAAGUGUAAUGUCUGGCUACUAUGAACCGGAAUAUUUAUUUUGAAAUAUUAAAGGAUUAAAUAUGUAUUAUCAGGCCAAAUCAGACAGUCUUGUUUUAACAAGACACUUGAAAAAAUCAAUUGCUAACAGUCUGAAGAAAAUGAUUUAAAGAAAGACAGUGAAAAUAUGUAGUAAAGUAGACAGACAUACAUCAUUGAUGGGCUGUGUAAUUAAAAUCAGUGGCUUCUCUACAAGGAAGUUUAAUCAAUUUAGAAGGUGAAUGGAUAAAACCAGAUGUAUAUAUGGGUACCUUUAUUAGAGUUUCCUACUUUUUAAAACAUUUCACUUAAUGUGUUUUAGUCAUGUUAUUUCAGCAUUAGGUGGAGCAAUGUCAGUGGAGCU